rnacentral:ncRNA from 1 species
UAUUAGUUUAAUUAUGGCUAUAAAAAGCAUAGUUUAAGAAUUACAUAGCAAAUUAUUUUUAUUUAUUUUAUUAUAAUUGUGUAAGAUUAGCUAGUAAUGAGUAUUUUAUUAAAUUAAUUAAAUAAGUUAAAACUUAAACUGAAAUAGUGGAUCAUGCGCAGUGCCAGCAUCCGCGGCUAAUCUGUAGCUAGAAAGCUUUUUUUAUAUUAUAUAUUUCAUUUUUAUUAGAGUUUAGAAGGUUUAAUUUUAGUUAAACUUAUUAAAAUAUUAUUUGAAUCUUUAUUUAAUUAACGAUUUAAAACAGGAAUUAGAGACUCCUCUAUUAUUUAAAAUACUAAAUAUUUAGUUUAAACUAAAAUAAUUUGGCAGCUGAUUAAUCCAGACUGGGGAUGGUGUUUAUUAAAAAGAUGAUCCGCUUAUAAAUUUACCUUUUUUAUUUAGUUGGUGUACGUCCGGUUUAUAACUUUUAAUUAUUAUUUAUAGUUAGUGUAAACUUAAAUUGUUUAAGCUAGGUCAAUGUGCUGCCUAUAAAAAGGUUUAUUAUUCCAUACAUUUAAAACAUAAAAUUGUAAAAUAAUAUUGAGGACUAGUCAGUAAAGAAAUUAAAAUUGAUUUCUUGAAACGGGUUUAAAUUAGGGUACAUACCGCCCGUCAAUCUCGGCGUAAGCUGAGAUAAGUCGUAACAUGGUAGCUUUAGAGGAAUCUGAAGCUAGUAAACUUAAGUUUUAA